rnacentral:rRNA from 1 species
GAUGAACGCUGACAGCAUGCUUAACACAUGCAAGUCAACUGUGGCGGACGGGUGAGUAACGCGUAAAGAACUUGCCUCACGGAUAGGGACUACAUUUGGAAACGAAUGCUAAUACCUGAUACUGUGAGAGAGCUUUGCGUCCCAUUAGCUAGUUGGAGAGGUAACGGCCCACCAAGGAGAGGAUGGGUAGCCGGCCUGAGAGGGUGAUCGGCCACAAGGGGACUGAGACACGGCACUGAGUGCUACGGGAGGCAGCAGUGGGGAAUAUAGGACGAUGGACCAAAGUCUGAACCAGCAAUUCGGUGUGCAAGAUGAAGUUUUCGGAAUGUAAAGUGCGUUCAGUAGGGAAGCGGUACCAACAGAAGAAGUGACGGCUAAAUACGUGCCAGCAGCCGCGGUAAUAC